GAUGAACGCUGGCGGCGUGCUUAACACAUGCAAGUCGAACGGCAAGGCUCCUGCUUGCAGGGGUACUCGAGUGGCGAACGGGUGCGUAACCCGUGGGUGAUCUGCCCUGCACUUCGGGCUAACCCUGGGAAACUGGGUCUAAUACCGGCUCGGCCGAUGGUUUGCAUUCCAUUGUGGACAGUUUUUCGGUGUGGGAUGAGCUCGCGGCCUAUCAGCUUGUUGGUGGGGUAAUGGCCUACCAAGGCGUCGACGGGUAGCCGGCCUGAGAGGGUGUACGGCCACAUGGGGACUGAGAUACGGCCGAGACUCCUACGGGAGGCAGCAGUGGGGAAUAUUGCACAAUGGGCGCAAGCCUGAUGCAGCGACGCCGCGUGGGGGAUGACGGCCUUCGGGUUGUAAACUCCUUUCGCUAGGGACGAAGCGCAAGUGACGGUACCUGGAGAAGAAGCACCGGCUAACUACGU
rnacentral:rRNA from 1 species